UUCCGCGCUUGCAUAGCUUCUAACGAUUCUUACGCAUACUCCUUAAUGUUCUUCCACUCCGCGCUCCACUGUGGAGCGGCUUCUGAUAUUCUUCCGCCCCGAACUUUCCUCUAUAAGAACCUCCUUCGUACGACCUUUUCUUCUGAUUUCUUUUCUCUUUCUUUCCUUAAUCAAUUCGUAAUCUGUAAUUAGGAUAGUAUCAAAUCGUUAAUCGAAGUACGCCCGUUACAAAGAUGUUCUACUGGCAGUUCUAGUUUGUACACUUGUUUUCCAAUGAUAUCCAGAAUCUUGAAGAGUCCAAUAUAUUUAUGAUCAAGUUUGCAAACCAGAUGCAGCAAUUGGAGAUUUUUUGUAUUGAGCAUGAUAUAGUCAUCUAUUUUAAAUUGUUGAGGCUUAUGUUUUGCAUUGUAAUAGGUUUUCUGUGCUUGUCAUGCCUUUUGUAGAUUCUUGAUGAGCUUAUGAUGUGUUUCCUUGAUAUGUUUUGUGCAGCUAGCAGCAUGUAUGGUGACUGAUUGUGGUGGUUUGCUGAUAUUAAUUUUCAAAUCAGGUUGAUAUUCCAUUAAGGCUUCUGUGGGUGUCAUUUCAGUAGAGGUAUGUUGAG
rnacentral:sRNA from 1 species